UACAGAGGUCUCGAGCGUUAGGCGGAAUCACUGGGCUUAAAGCGUGUGUAGGCGGAUCGGUAAGUACCUUGUGAAAUCCCACAGCUUAACUGUGGAACUGCUUGGUAUACUGCCAGUCUUGAGCCACUUAGGGGCUACCGGAACAAAUGGUGGAGCGGUGAAAUGCGUAGAUAUCAUUUGGAACGCCAAUGGUGAAAACAGGUAGCUGGGACGUGACUGACGCUGAGACGCGAAAGCGUGGGGAGCAAACAGG
rnacentral:rRNA from 1 species